rnacentral:rRNA from 1 species
CCUACGGGGUGCUGCAGUGGGGAAUAUUGGACAAUGGGGGCAACCCUGAUCCAGCGACGCCGCGUGUGUGAAGAAGGCCUGCGGGUUGUAAAGCACUUUUAGUGGGGAGGAAGGUCUGCGACCUAACACGUAGUGGAAUUGACUUAACCCACAGAAAAAGCACCGGCUAACUCUGUGCCAGCAGCCGCGGUAAUACAGAGGGUGCAAGCGUUAAGUGGAGUUACUGGGGGCGAAGCCGUCGUAGGCGGUUGAAAGCCCCGGGCUCAACCUGGGAAUUGCAUUCGAGACUGCGAAGCUGGAGUGCGGAAGAGGGAAGUGGAAUUUCCGGUGUAGCGGUGAAAUGCGUAGAUAUCGGAAGGAACAUCAGUGGCGAAAGCGACUUCCUGGUCCAGCACUGACGCUCAGGCACGAAAGCGUGGGGAGCAAACAGGAUUAGAUACCCUUGUAGUC